GACGAACGCUGGCGGCGUGCUUAACACAUGCAAGUCGAACGGAAAGGCCCUGCUUUUGUGGGGUGCUCGAGUGGCGAACGGGUGAGUAACACGUGAGUAACCUGCCCUUGACUUUGGGAUAACUUCAGGAAACUGGGGCUAAUACCGGAUAGGAGCUCCUGCUGCAUGGUGGGGGUUGGAAAGUUUCGGCGGUUGGGGAUGGACUCGCGGCUUAUCAGCUUGUUGGUGGGGUAGUGGCUUACCAAGGCUUUGACGGGUAGCCGGCCUGAGAGGGUGACCAGCCACAUUGGGACUGAGAGACGGCCCAGACUCCUACGGGAGGCAGCAGUGGGGAAUAUUGCACAAUGGGCGGAAGCCUGAUGCAGCAACGCCGCGUGCGGGAUGACGGCCUUCGGGUUGUAAACCGCUUUCGCCUGUGACGAAGCGUGAGUGACGGUAAUGGGUAAAGAAGCACCGGCUAACUACAUG
rnacentral:rRNA from 1 species